rnacentral:lncRNA from 1 species
GAUGUCACUAAGUAUCCAGCCAUCCCUCUCCACCGAGAGUCGGGGGAGACACCUGUUCUGUGAGGGAUAACUUGUUAAAGGGUCAGCGGUUCUGCCUCUCCCCUACCCCUAAGGGAAAGCAUCCAGGCUGCAGCUGCUCAAAGGAACAAGAGUGAGGAGAAGGAAUGCACAGUGCAUCCCACACCCACGUCCUCCGCCCAGCUGCUGUGCACAUAUGCAAACACA